UACAGAGGGUGCAAGCGUUGUUCGGAAUUAUUGGGCGUAAAGGGCGCGUAGGCGGCGCCUUAAGUCACCUGUGAAAUCUCCGGGCUUAACUCGGAGCCUGCAGGCGAAACUGUGGUGCUGGAGUGUGGGAGAGGUGCGUGGAAUUCCCGGUGUAGCGGUGAAAUGCGCAGAUAUCAGGAAGAACACCCGUGGCGAAGGCGGCUCUCUGGAACGCAACUGACGCUGAGACGCGAAAGCAUGGGGAGCAAACAGG
rnacentral:rRNA from 1 species